rnacentral:rRNA from 1 species
AGAGUUUGAUCCUGGCUCAGAACGAACGCUGGCGGCGUGGCUAAGGCAUGCAAGUCGUACGGGACACAUAGGGUAGCAAUAUCACGUGUGUUCAGUGGCGGACGGGUCAGUAAUACAUAGGUAACGUACCUUGGACACAGGGAUAACGUCGGGCCCCGCAAGGGGUCCUUUGCGAAAGUGACGGUAAUACCUGAUGACAUCCUUGGGUGGCAUCAUCCGGGGAUCAAAGGGUGGGGACCGCAAGGCCUAUCGGUCUGGGAGCGGCCUAUGUCCUAUCAGCUAGUUGGUGAGGUAACGGCCCACCAAGGCGAAGACGGGUAGCGGGGCUGAGAGGUCGGCCCGCGACAUCGGAACUGAGAUACUGUCCGGACACCUACGGGUGGCUGCAGCAACGAAUAUUCCGCAAUGGGCGCAAGCCUGACGGAGCGACGCCGCGUACGGGAUGAAGUCCUUCGGGAUGUAAACCGUAAUAGUCUGUGAGCAAGCGACUCGGGCUAAUAUCCCGGGAAGUUGAGCAAUAGACGAAAGGGACGGCUAACUCCGUGCCAGCAGCCGCGGUAAGACGGAGGUCCCAAGCGUUGUUCGGAAUCACUGGGCUUAAAGCGCGUGUAGGCGGGUUGGCACGUACCUUGUGAAAUCCCUCGGCUCAACCGAGGAACUGCUUGGUAUACGGCCGGUCUUGAGGCAGGUAGAGGCGCCGGAACCUUAGUGGAGCGGUGAAAUGCGUAGAUUCUAGAACGCCGGUGGCGAAACGGGGCGCUGGGCCUGUCCUGACGCACGCGAAGCGUGGAGCGGGAUUAGAUACCCUGGUAGUCAAGGGCGAAUCACACUGGUUACUAGUGGACCACUCGGUCAGC